GUCGAUUAGGUACUGCUGAUCGUGCAGUCGAACGGUAGCCGUCCUUCGAUCUGGUUACCAGCUGGCGCGUGCGUACCCAUCUGAGUUGCCCCCAAGAGCGGGACACUCCUCGAUGUAGGCUCGAUAUCCCGUGAGCUCUUCGUCUGGUUUCUGGGUGCUCUUCCGACUGUGCACUUUUAGCGGGGGAUGCGUCCCAGGUAUCGUUGGGGGAUAACGUUUCCCAAGUGCAUUAUCCGUCUUGGUUGUGAUAAGCACGCCGCCAACACUGCAUCUGAGCGGGACCAACCUAUAGACGGGAGGCUGCAGUGGGGAAUUUAUCGACGAUGGCGGAAACCCUGAGCCAGGAUUCAAACUCUAAGCGAUGAAGGCCUUCGGGGUGUAAAGCAUAUUUUGGCAGGAAAGAAACGUCGCGGGUUAAUACCCCGCGGAACUGACGGCACCUGCAGAAUAAGCACCGGCUAACUACGUGCCAGCAGCCGCGGUAAUACGUAGGGUGCAAGCGUUAAUCGGAAUUACUGGGCGUAUAGAGUGCGCAAGCGGUUCGGAAAGAAAGAUGUGAAAUCCCAGAGCUUAACUUUGGAACUGCAUUUUUAACUACCGGGCUAGAGUGUGUCAGAGGGAGGUGGAAUUCCGCGUGUAGCAGUGAAAUGCGUAGAUAUGCGGAGAAACACCGAUGGCGAAGGCAGCCUCCUGGGAUAACACUGACGCUCAUGCACGAAAGCGUAGGGAGCAAACAGGAUUAGAUACCCUGGUAGUGCACGCCCUAAACGAUGUCAACUAGCUGUUGGGGUCUUCGGCCCUUGGUAGCGCAGCUAACGCGUGAAGUUGACCGCCUGGGGAGUACGGUCGCAAGAUUAAAACUCAAAGGAAUUGACGGGGACCCGCACAAGCGGUGGAUGAUGUGGAUUAAUUCGAUGCAACGCGAAAAACCUUACCUACCCCUGACAUGUCUGGAAUGCCGAAGAGAUUUGGCAGUGCUCGCAAGAGAACUGGAACACAGGUGCUGCAUGGCUGUCGUCAGCUCGUGUCGUGAGAUGUUGGGUUAAGUCCCGCAACGAGCGCAACCCUUGUCAUUAGUUCCUACGAAAGGGCACUCUAAUGAGACUGCCGGUGACAAACCGGAGGAAGGUGGGGAUGACGUCAAGUCCUCAUGGCCCUUAUGGGUAGGGCUUCACACGUCAUACAAUGGUCGGGACAGAGGGUCGCCAACCCGCGAGGGGGAGCCAAUCCCAGAAACCCGGUCGUAGUCCGGAUCGCAGUUUGCGACUCUUCCUCGCGAAGUCGGUAACUCUAAUCUACCUAGAUUUCCAUCCUGCCUCACUCAUUUAUACCUAUCUAGCUUGAGUCCCUCCCUCCCACAGUCAUUCCUACUAGCUAGAUAUAGAUCCUGGCUCAGUAAGUAGGUACGAAUCAAGUAGAGUAGCUC
rnacentral:rRNA from 1 species